CAAAUUGACAAGCUCGAGAAAGUUCUGGUGCGAGGACCCUCCCUCUUGGAUGCUUGCACGGGCCGUGGUCUUCAGUGUCACCGCUCUUUCCUUGAUCUCCUUGAGCUGCGCCGCCUUGUUCUUGAUCUCCUCCUGUGUGACAACCCCUUGCUUGUCUCGGCAAAGCUUAAUGCCUGUCUUCCACACAUUGCAUAUGUAGCUCUGGUUGCAGAAUUGCAUAAGAACGGGACACCGUGCAGUACACCUUCCAUUGUUGAGUUCCACCCACAGUGCGACAUGAAGCAAGCGAUUGAAGGGUGUGAUAGUACUCGUUGCUGGGGAGCCCAGCUAAUAACCAACCCCUUGCCCUUGAUACGGUCGGACAACCCACAGAAAUGGUUGGUCAGAGACGGCAAGCCCGUUAGCAAGCUCAUGGAACUGAGCUACGUCAAAGAUGGUGGAGCUCCCAAAGGCCACGAAUGGUGCAUCCUGCGAUGGAGCCAUACUGCCAUGAAGCAAGUUUUCAUGGGAGGACCCUCCCUCUGCUAUGCUUGUGCAUGCCGCAUGCUUCCACUUUGCUGCCCUCGCCUUGAUCUCCUUGUCGUCAACCAGCUGCUCGACCUUGUUCUUGAUCUCCUCCUUGGUGACAACCCCUCGCUCAUCCGCCUGGAGCUUCACUCCAGUCCCCCACACAUUGCAUAUGUAGCUCUGUACUGGUCGGCGAAGUACGGCCAGCACAGAAACGGCACACCAUGCCGGAGCCCUUCCAUGUCGAGUUCCACCCGCAGUGCGACACGAAGCAUCGAUCGACGGGUGCGAGAGCACGCUCUGCUGGGGAGCCCAACCGACGAUCAUUCCCUUGCCGCUGACACGGUGCCUGAACUCCUCCAGCCAGCCUUCGCCGGCACCAUUGGUGAAGUUUUGCCUGAUCACCCACAGGAAUGGCCGGCCAGAAAGCACUAG
rnacentral:lncRNA from 1 species